rnacentral:rRNA from 1 species
GAACGGGCGAGUAACGCGUGGGUAACCAACCUUAAACAGGGGGACAACAUCGGGAAACCGGUGCUAAUACCGCAUAUAUGCAGACAUGGCAUCAUGAUUGCAGGAAAGGCUUCGGCCGGUUUAAGACGGACCCGCGUCCAAUUAGCUAGUUGGUAGUGUAAUGGACUACCAAGGCGACGAUUGGUAGCCGGGCUGAGAGGCUGAACGGCCGCAUUGGGACUGAGACACGGCCCAGACUCCUACGGGAGGCAGCAGAGGGGAAUAUUGCACAAUGGGGGAAACCCUGAUGCAGCGACGCCGCGUGAAGGAUGAAGGUUUUCGGAUCGUAAACUUCUUUGAUCCGGGACGAAAAUUUGACGGUACCCCGAAAGAACCCAGGCACCGGGCUAAACUACCGUGCCCAGCAGCCGCGGUAAUUACGCUAGGUGUGGCAGCGCGUUNGUCGGGUUUACUGGGGUGUAAAGGGGCCGUGGUAGGGCGGGGAAUACAAGUCAGGAUGGUGAAAAUAACUGGUGGGUCCACCCCCAGAGACGGCAUCCUGAAACUGGUAUUUCCUUGGAGUACCUGGGAGAAGGAAAGCGGGAAUUCCUAGUGGUAGCGGUGGAAAUGCCGUAGAUAUUUAGAGGAACAACCGGUGGGCGAAAGCCGGCUUUUCUGGACAGUAACUGACGCUGAGACGCGAAAGCGUGGGGAAGCAAACAGAUUAGAUACCCCUGGUAGUC